UAAAAAUGAUUAUGCUUCUAUAAACGUUAAUUGAAUUAGUAAAGUAAUUAAGAUUGAAAAAUUAAUGAAAGUUUGCCUUCGUAUUGAAACAGAAUAAAUAAGAACGUUAUUAACGGAUAACCUGGCUUUUCUCUGCGUGUACAUGUUAACGUUUUAAAUGUUUCGGACUGGAAUCUUUCAACAUUAGGUAUUCCAAUUACUAUUAAGGAUAAUAAAAAAAUUCAUUUAUAACACUUAAAACAAGAGCAAAAAAAUUUCUAUUCUCAAUAAAAAAUUAUGAUUAAAGCUGUGAUACAAUGGAUUUGAAUUAUUCGCUACAAUUAUAAAGCUCCAAGAUAGAAUCUGAGCACUGAUUGUUAUGUAACAUCUUCAGUGUUGUAGCACGCAAUGGAUAAUCCUUAGCUGCUUACUCGCUGCUUCUGAUUCCAUAGAAUAUAAUCAAUGCUUCUGAGAGUUGCUGGAUGGGGCUAUUACUUGGGGACAAUAGGAUAGUUAUAAUCAGAAUAUAACGCACGAGAGCCUUCGAGGUAAAUUUACCUUGGUCUGUCGCAGGACAAUUCAAUUGUACUGCUGAAGUUACGAGAUGUGAAGCAAUUAAAACCAAGGAAUGGUUGCAAGGAAUUGAAUCAAUUUAAAAAAUUGGUGAUUAAUAUGUGUUAGUUACUUCAAUUUUAUUUGUCUCUCUCUUAUCGAUCAAUACUUAACUAUUUUGGCAAUAAUCCAGACCAAUGCAUCGAAAUCAGCUGUUACCCAAUCACCGGAAGUGUAAGGGCAUUUGUCGUGCGUGUGAACUACAUAGGUAAUAAAUACAUGAUUUUUCAAUUUAUUUCAAACAAUAAAUAAUCAAUCUCUCAUUAAUAUGAUUUUUCAAUACAGUUCUUUUGUUUG